GCUUGUCUCAAAGAUUAAGCCAUGCAUGUCUAAGUACAAGCCUCAGUAAGGUGAAACCGCGAAUGGCUCAUUAAAUCACACCUAAUCUACUGGAAAGUUACUAGUUACUUGGAUAACUGAGGUAAUUCUUGAGCUAAUACAUGCGAAAAAUCUCGACUCACGGAGAGAUGCUUUUAUUAGAUAAAAAACCAAUGCCCUUCGGGGCUCCUUGGUGAAUCAUAAUAACUUAACGAAUCGCAUGGCCUUGCGCCGGCGAUGGUUCAUUCAAAUUUCUGCCCUAUCAACUUUCGAUGGUAGGAUAGUGGCCUACCAUGGUAUCAACGGGUAACGGGGAAUUAGGGUUCGACUCCGGAGAGGGAGCCUGAGAAACGGCUACCACAUCCAAGGAAGGCAGCAGG
rnacentral:rRNA from 1 species